CAAUCACUACUUGACUAUCAAAGCUGUCAAGUGAUUGAUUUCAUGUUUUGAAGUCUUAACGUCAAGAGACAAGGAAAAGAAUCUUCUGACACCAAUGGUGGAAGAUCUGACCCUUCUUGAUGAGAAAUAGCAACAGUUUGGGAGCAAGUUUUCACAGCUGAAUGCAAAAAUUGUUGAGCAGAAUGAAUUAAAAGAAAAGGAACUGCCACUUGUUCAAGAUGUAGAAGCUAAACUUAAAGAACUAACCCAGAUCAUUCCUGGUCUUAACAAUCAUCAAAUGUCCUUGAAA